UUGUGGGCGCAGGGCGGCUCAGUGGGUGGUAGUGCGCUGCUGCAGGGGGCGAGGGAGGAGACUGGGGGAAAGGGUGCUGGGAAGAGUUCAAGUGCAGGAGGACUUGCAGGCAGGGACUUGAAGAACGGGAGGAAAGAGCUGGCUGGGAAAAUGAGGCUUGCAGGACAUGAAGGAAAUACAGCUCUCAGCAGUGCCACUGCAUUUCCGAGCGGACAGCUGCACCUCUUCAGGUGGAAGCGCCCAGGCCUGGAGCGGCACCCCAGCUAACAGGUAGGAGGCACUAAGAGAAGUACUUGUGUGUGAGGUACCUGCUCCGAAAUGGCCGGAAAGCACCGAGGUUUCUGCUCUCGCCAUUGCUUAGGUCAAAUAAAACAGUGGAGAUGC